rnacentral:rRNA from 1 species
GACGAACGCUGGCGGCGUGCCUAAUACAUGCAAGUCGAGCGGACAGAUGGGAGCUUGCUCCCUGAAGUCAGCGGCGGACGGGUGAGUAACACGUGGGCAACCUGCCUGUAAGACUGGGAUAACUUCGGGAAAUCGGAGCUAAUACCGGAUACGUUCUUUUCUCGCAUGAGAGAAGAUGGAAAGAUGGUUUCGGCUAUCACUUACAGAUGGGCCCGCGGCGCAUUAGCUAGUUGGUGAGGUAAUGGCUCACCAAGGCGACGAUGCGUAGCCGACCUGAGAGGGUGAUCGGCCACACUGGGACUGAGACACGGCCCAGACUCCUACGGGAGGCAGCAGUAGGGAAUCUUCCGCAAUGGACGAAAGUCUGACGGAGCAACGCCGCGUGAACGAUGAAGGCCUUCGGGUCGUAAAGUUCUGUUGUUAGGGAAGAACAAGUACCAGAGUAACUGCUGGUACCUUGACGGUACCUAACCAGAAAGCCACGGCUAACUACGUGCCAGCCGCCGCAGUAACAC